rnacentral:rRNA from 1 species
GAUGAACGCUGCGGCGUGCCUCAUCCCUGCAAGUCGAGCGAACGGACGAGAAGCUUGCUUCUCUGAUGUUAGCGGCGGACGGGUGAGUAACACGUGGAUAACCUACCUAUAAGACUGGGAUAACUUCGGGAAACCGUAGCUAAUACCGGAUAAUAUUUUGAACCGCAUGGUUCAAAAGUGAAAGACGGUCUUGCUGUCACUUAUAGAUGGAUCCGCGCUGCAUUAGCUAGUUGGUAAGGUAACGGCUUACCAAGGCAACGAUGCAUAGCCGACCUGAGAGGGUGAUCGGCCACACUGGAACUGAGACACGGUCCAGACUCCUACGGGAGGCAGCAGUAGGGAAUCUUCCGCAAUGGGCGAAAGCCUGACGGAGCAACGCCGCGUGAGUGAUGAAGGUCUUCGGAUCGUAAAACUCUGUUAUUAGGGAAGAACAUAUGUGUAAGUAACUGUGCACAUCUUGACGGUACCUAAUCAGAAAGCCACGGCUAACUACGUG